GGUUAUCACAACAUUUAAUAAGACUCGCGCCCGAAAGAGAUAGUUCAGUUAUUUUCCAUCAUCCAGAAUGGUUGCGUUCAAAGUUCUUAUUGUAGGGAUGGUAUUUCUCCUGAAAAUUGUUCAGCUUUUGGCCAUUCCAAUACCAACUCCUUCUACCAGCGGUGGUAACCCAUUUCGCCGCCCUUAUGAUGGAUAAUUAUGAAAAAUGUAUAGGGAAAGAAAAGCAAUAAAAGGAUCCAGUUCAAAAGCUUAAAAAUUGUUUAGUAUUUUUAGAAGAACUGAAAUUUGGAUAAUUCGAAACGACAUUUUUUCUUGAAAGCAAUAUAUUAGGAAUAGAAAAACCAAAAGACUGAUUUCAAUAAAUGAAUUGAAUAAUCUAGGUGUUAUAAUCGACAUCGAUUCGUUUUAUAUGCAGCCGCUGUUAUAAAAUAAUAUUUCACCGAAAGAGAUUGUUCAGUUAUUUUCCAUCACCCAGAAUGGUUGCGUUGAAAGUUCUAAUUGUAGGGAUCGUUUUCUUCCUGAGCGUUGUUCAGCUCUUGGCCACCCCCUUGCCAGGUGUGAUUGUUGUGCGCGGCCAAUGCCCGUUCUGCCGUUCAAAUUGAGAUGAUUAAUUAUAGCAUAUAUAUAUGGAAAUAAAGCAAUACAAUAAAUAAAGUGCAAGUUCAAAA